GAUGAAGAACGUAGCGAAAUGCGAUAAGUAAUGUGAAUUGCAGAAUUCAGUGAAUCAUCGAAUCUUUGAACGCACAUUGCGCCCGCCAGUAUUCUGGCGGGCAUGCCUGUUCGAGCGUCAUUUCAACCAUCAAGCUCCCGGGCUUGCGUUGGGGCCCUGCGGCUGCCGCAGGCCCCUAAAACCAGUGGCGGGCUCGCUGUCACACCGAGCGCAGUAGCAUUUCUUCGCUCUGGGCGCGGCGGCGGGCGCUUGCCGCAAAACAUACCACUUUUUAAAGGUUGACCUCGGAUCAGGUAGGAAUACCCGCUGAACUUAAGCAUAUCAAUAAGCGGAGGA
rnacentral:misc_RNA from 1 species